AUAUUGCACAAUGGGCGAAAGCCUGAUGCAGCUACGCCGCGUGAGGGAUGACGUCCUUCGGGUUGUAAACCUAUUUCAGUACGGAAGAAGCGAAAGUGACGGUACUGGCAGACGAAGCGCCGGCUAACUAAGUGCCAGCAGUCGCGGUGAUACGAAGGGCGCAAGCGGUGUCCGUAUUUAUUGUGCGUAAAGAGCUAUUAGGUGGUUAGCCGCGGUUACUGUGGAAACUCGAGGCUUAACCUCGAGCUUGCAGUGGGUACGGGGUGACUAGAGUGCGGUAGGAGAGACUGGAAUUCCUGGUGUAGCGGUGGAAUGCGCAGAUAUCAGGAGGAACACCGAUGGCGAAGGCAGGUCUCUGGGCCGUAACUGACACUGAGGAGCGAAAGCGUGGGGAGCGAAC
rnacentral:rRNA from 1 species